GACGUAGGGCGCGAGCGUUGUCCGGAUUUAUUGGGCGUAAAGAGCUCGUAGGCGGCUUGUCGCGUCGACUGUGAAAUCCCGCGGCUCAACCGCGGGUCUGCAGUCGAUACGGGCAGGCUAGAGUUCGGUAGGGGAGACUGGAAUUCCUGGUGUAGCGGUGAAAUGCGCAGAUAUCAGGAGGAACACCGAUGGCGAAGGCAGGUCUCUGGGCCGAUACUGACGUGAGGAGCGAAAAGCGUGGGGGAGCGAACAGGGAUUAGAA
rnacentral:rRNA from 1 species